rnacentral:rRNA from 1 species
UUCGGAAUAUUCGGCAAUGGACGAAAGUCUGACCGAGCGACGCCGCGUGCGGGAUGAAGGCCCUAUGGGUUGUAAACCGCUUUCGCGAGUGAGCAAAUCACGAUCAGUGAACAACUGGUUGUGUUGAGUUAAGCUUGUAAAGAAGCCCCCGCUAAUCACGUGCCAGCAGCGGCGGUAAUACGUGAGGGGCGAACGUUGUUCGGUGUCACUGGGCUUAAAGGGUGCGUAGGUGGUUGCGUAAGUAAGGUGUGAAAUCCCUCGGCUUACCCGGGGAAUUGCAUCUUAUACUGCGUGGCUUGAGGUCUAAAGGGGAAAAGGGAACUCCAGGUGUAGCGGUGAAAUGCGCAGAUAUCUGGGGGAAGGCCGGCGGCGAAGGCGCUUUUCUGGUUAGUACCUGACACUGAGGCACGAAAGCGUGGGGAGCAAACAGGAUUAGAUACCCGGGUAGUCC